rnacentral:rRNA from 1 species
CGAACGCUGGCGGCGUGGCUAAAACAUGCAAGUCGUACGCGAAAGUUUUCUUCGGAAAACGAGUAGAGUGGCGGCAGGGCGAGUAAUGCAUGGGUAACGUGCCUUGAGCACGGGGAUAGCUGUGGGAAACUGCAGGUAAUACCCGAUGAGACCACAGGACCUUAUGGUACAGUGGUCAAAGGUGGGGAUCUCUUCGGAGACCUUCCGGCUUAAGAGCGGCCCAUGUCCUAUCAGCUUGUUGGUGAGGUAACGGCUCACCAAGGCUUCGACGGGUACCGGGACUGAGAGGUUGACCCGGCGCAUUGGGACUGAGACACUGCCCAGACUCCUACGGGAGGCUGCAGUAACGAAUAUUCCGCAAUGGACGAAAGUCUGACGGAGCGACGCCGCGUGCGGGAAUAAGCCCUUCGGGGUGUAAACCGCUGUCAGGGACUACCAAGCAAAGAGGGCUAAUAUCUCUCGGCGUUGAGGAAUCCCAGAGGAAGCCACGGCUAACUUC